AUGUCACAUCCACAUAAUUUGAAGUUUACAACUUUACUUCAACUCAUAUAAAUCACAUUGUUACAACGGAAUUAAAAACAAUUUUUGUUCGGUAUCCAAAGUUUCACCCAAACAUCUAAACAAUAGUAGUUUAAAACAAAAAUCCUUAUUAUUGAAAGAUACGUAACAUGAAAAACACAUAGGUAAAACAACCUCAUAGACAAAACAACCACGAUGUUACGUAUCAGAGCUACUCCA
rnacentral:lncRNA from 1 species